UAGUCCACGCCGUAAACUAUGAUCACUCGUUGUUGGCAAUACACAGUCAGCGACUGAGCGAAAGCAUUAAGUGAUCCACCUGGGGAGUACGACCGCAAGGUUGAAACUCAAAGGAAUUGACGGGGGCCCGCACAAGCGGAGGAACAUGUGGUUUAAUUCGAUGAUACGCGAGGAACCUUACCUGGGCUUAAAUGUAGAACGCCGGAUCGGGAAACUGAUCUUUCUUCGGACGGUCUGCAAGGUGCUGCAUGGCUGUCGUCAGCUCGUGCCGUGAGGUGUCGGGUUAAGUCCCAUAACGAGCGCAACCCUCAUCAUUAGUUGCCAGCGGGUAAUGCCGGGGACUCUAAUGAAACUGCCGGUGUAAACCGAGAGGAAGGUAAGGAUGAUGUCAAGUCAGCAUGCCCCUUAUGCCCUGGGCUACACACGUGCUACAAUGGACGAGACAAUGAGUUACAAAUCUAGCGAAGAUAAGUUAAUCUAUAAACUCGUUCUAAGUACGGAUUGU
rnacentral:rRNA from 1 species